rnacentral:rRNA from 1 species
GAUGAACGCUGGCGGCGUGCUUAACACAUGCAAGUCGAACGGUGAAGCAGGAGCUUGCUCUUGUGGAUCAGUGGCGAACGGGUGAGUAACACGUGAGCAACCUGCCCCUGACUCUGGGAUAAGCGCUGGAAACGGCGUCUAAUACUGGAUAUGUGAUGUGACCGCAUGGUCUGCAUCUGGAAAGAAUUUCGGUUGGGGAUGGGCUCGCGGCCUAUCAGCCUGUUGGUGAGGUAAUGGCUCACCAAGGCGUCGACGGGUAGCCGGCCUGAGAGGGUGACCGGCCACACUGGGACUGAGACACGGCCCAGACUCCUACGGGAGGCAGCAGUGGGGAAUAUUGCACAAUGGGCGGAAGCCUGAUGCAGCAACGCCGCGUGAGGGAUGACGGCCUUCGGGUUGUAAACCUCUUUUAGCAGGGAAGAGGCGAAAGUGACGGUACCUGCAGAAAAAGCACCGGCUAACUACGUGCCAGCCGCCGCGGUAA